rnacentral:rRNA from 1 species
ACGAACGCUGGCGGCGUGCUUAACACAUGCAAGUCGAGCGGUAAGGCCCUUUCGGGGUACGACAGCGGCGAACGGGUGAGUAACACGUGGGUGACCUGCCCUCCAGCUCUGGGAUAAGCCUGGGAAACCGGGUACGUAAUACUGGAUAUGACUCCAUGACGCAUGUUGUGGGGUGGAAAGCCUUGUGCGGCUGAGGAUGGGCCCGCGGCCUAUCAGCUUGUUGGUGGGGUGAUGGCCUACCAAGGCGACGACGGGUAGCCGGCCUGAGAGGGCGACCGGCC